GAAUAUGAAAUUCUCCGAUUUUACCAAACCUAAGGUCUAUCUAUGGUUAGUAAAACAGUAGGGUAUAAUUAGAAAUUUUUAUGCCUCCCAAUGGAAAGGAGAUAGUAGAAUUAUAAU
rnacentral:ncRNA from 2 species